rnacentral:rRNA from 1 species
UACGUAGGGAGCAAGCGUUGUCCGGAAUCAUUGGCGUAAAGCGCGCGUAGGUGGCUUCGUAAGUCCGUUGUGAAAGUCAAAGGCUCAACCUUUGAAAGCCGAUGGAUACUGUGAAGCUAGAGUACGGAAGAGGCGAGUGGAAUUCCUGGUGUAGCGGUGGAAUGCGCAGAUAUCAGGAGGAACACCAAUAGCGAAGGCAGCUCGCUGGGACGUUACUGACACUGAGGCGCGAAAGCGUGGGGAGCGAACAGG